GCACGAUAGAUAAUGACAAACAAACGACGGAAAUUACAUAAUAAAUCCACAGCGUGUGCAUUUGACUCUAUCUUACUAUACUUGUCAGUACAUGGAGGAAAGGUCCGUGUCAAAUGUAUUUUUAAAGAUUAGGAACGACGAUUCAAUUUCCAUUUGUUUAUUGUUUUAGUCGUGGUUGAAACGUCACCAGGAACAUAUCAGGAUAGACAACAGAAGUCUGUAAGUUUCUAUUUUAUGUAUUUAUAUAUUAACAUAGAUAUUAUAAGCCUUUCAUGUCUUCUGUUGACACAUUUUCAUAACUAUAUGCACCGUUUUAGUAGAUCACAGAUGUCCUUUUCGAACAUAAAGAACCUCCCCGAAAAGACACACCUCAGCCGAAUCUUUCUUCUCAAAUGAAUGCCUGAAUGGUCAUCAAAUUAAUACUUGUUAUUGGCAGGCAUUUUCGAAUAAUUCUAAAAACAAAAUGUAUCAAUUCUGACUGCAAUGAAUUGAAAUGGAAAAUAAUAUACAUUGUAUCUCGAGGGAAAUGUACACACUUAAACAACAGUGAAUUUUUCAUAAAUAUUAUAUAAAAUAGUAAAAGUGUAGCAUACAUAAUUAUCAUGUGUAUUAACGAUUAAACUCUGGAAGAAAUAUAGUCCAGCAUAAAUACAAAUAUACAGGCUUCAGCACAUUAUUAGCACCUGUCAUUGGCAAAAUCCCUUUUUUCUUAUAGUGCUAUAAUCUGGAUAACACACAGCUAAUGUGUGCAUUAACUAUACCUAAGAUAUACUGCAUCAUGUGCAUGAAAGGGGGGAGGGUAAUGGAAAAAAUAAAUUUUCUCAGAAAGGUUUCUCUUUCUUCAGAGGUUUAUAUGGAAAGUUGAUGUCUAGAUCUGUUGUGCAGUGUCAUGUGGGUUUUUUUUCGCCUGUAUGCGAGACAUAGGCAUGAUGGUAUUGCAACCCAAAACUUGACGUCCAUAACCCAACGGCGGUGGCGACGAUGGAGUACACUAUUUGUUUGAAGCAUUAUAUUUCAUAAGUUAGACAACCUAAAUGCUUCAUACCUUAUGUUACGAGAUUUCCGUCUGUCAUAUGUCCAUUGUCCCGGUAACCUAAUUUUCAUGGGUUUAAUAACUGCUUGAUACGUUUUGUUUUGUUAAAUGAAAAACUUACUUAUUAUGAGUUAGGAUAACUAUGUUUGGUAUAUGGGUUCCUAGCAACAUUUACAUGUUCGUCAGCUAGGUACAUGUAGGGUUAUCCUGACCUCGACCUUAUUCCAUGGAUCAGUUAUCAAAGAUAAAGUAACUUAUGCAAGACCGUAUCUAGAUACUAUAACUAGUAACAUGAUUGUGAGGUGCACAUAUCCACCUGACAGGUUCCGUCUGACCUUGACCUCAAUUUCAUGGUGCACAAAUAUAUAUAUAUAUAUAUAUAUAUAUAUACGAGUCUAAAUUGAAAACUACGUUCAAACCUAUGAUUGCGUUGGAUAAAAACCGCAAUUUUUAUAUAUAGUGUUUGUGGUUUGGUCUAUCUCUCAGAUACUUUAAGCAGUAGGACCACUAUAUAGGGUGUAUCAUGUAUUGAAUAAUUGUCAGCUGGAAAUGUCCGUCUGACAGGUCUCAAUUGACCUCGACUUAAUUUUUAUGGUUCAUUGGACAUUUUUUAGUUGUGUGGUUGGGUCAAUUUUUCGGGCAUUAUAAUCAAUAGGUCAAUAAUAUGUAGUGUAUGGAACAACUGUGAUGUGUCAUGUCUAUUUGUCGGGGUUAACAUGACUUUGACUUGUUUGAUGUUAAGAUCCGAUUCUCAGGUACUAUUAGCAAUAUGACAACUAUUAUACAUUGUAGUUGUGCAUUGAUAGUGUUAAGUAUACUGAUAAUUGUAGUAAAACCUCCAUACUAAAGACUUUCAACAUGAUUUGAAUGAUAAGUAAAAAAAAAUGCGAGACAUGUGCACUCAUAUUUUGGUAAUAACAUGUUUAAAGUGUUGACUCAAUUACAUGUACCUAAAUUUCAAUAUAUUUUUGUAUCAGAGUGCUGAAGGAGCAUCUUUAAAGUUUUAAGAGGGGAAUGAAUAUUUUGUUGAAGGGGAGAAUGUGUUGGAUACAUUACUCACAUUUUUGCCUAACGGAGCUGCUGUUCCUUUUGGAACAUGUCUUACUUGUUUUCUGGUAUAUUGAAUGGGGUAGGUAAAAGUAUUGCCAACACCAUUGAGUCCUGUGUUUUGUUUAAGACUUAAUGAAACAUGCAUUUAGUUGUUAUUUGUGUCUUCAGUUCGUUGUCUCCUAGGCAUGAACCAUUCAUCUGUUUUAAGACUCUACGAUUGAUUGAUUGAUCAUGACUGGCUGACUGUCCAAUGGCAAAUAUUACAUGCAUAUUCAGGAAGUUCGGAAUGAUACAUGCCAAUACUGAUAAAAAAUAAAGAAAUAUGCCUGAAGAAAAACAAUAACAGAGUAAGUGUUCCUGCAUUUUAAACUAAAAUAUUUCUUGUAGAGUGAGAAAACUGUUAUGAAACACCAGCAACAAAGACUAUAUUGUUAUUCAGUCCUGACUUAUUCCGUGUCUCUGAAGAUGAAGAUCAGGUAUGUAAUAAUGAGGUUUUAAUUUGACUUUUAAAUUGUAAAAGUUUAAUGAGUUACUGUAAGUUAAUCAAGUUCACAAGGUUGGAUAUAAUGCAACUUUACCACUUAUUUUUGUCAACAAGUUGAGCUGAGAACUGAUCAACUCGUGACUAUUAUAAGCUUCCAUAUCCCUUUAUUGUAUAAAAAUUCAACAAUUACUGUCCAGGUGCAUAAUAUAGCCAUCUUUAUCUUGCUGUAUCCAGAGGCAAUAUAUAUAAGAAAAUGUGGUAUGGGUGCCAACAUGGCCAAUGAGACAACUCUCCAUCUAAGUCACAAUUUAUAAAAGUAAACCAUAAAAGGUCAAAGUACGGACUUCAACACGGAGCAAGACUAUUAUUAACUACAAUAAAGAGAGUGAAUAAUAUUAUAUAAGCAAAAUACACAACAUAAUUAAGAUUAAAAGAAAGACAGACAAUUUCUUCAUCAAAGAUUAUUAAUUUUGCUAUGAUAACUAAAAAUAUUAACGAAAUGACUAUUUUGAUAUAAUUAUUUAAAUCGUAUACCCAAACAUGUCAAAGGGAAAACUUUGUUUUUCAUAUUUGAAAUUGUUUUGAAUUUGUCGUUAUUUCUUUCAGAUCAGGCCUAUCCAGAAGCAAGAAACGGGACAUUUUUUAGCACGUACAUCUACAGAGAGAGACAUGUUUAAAAAACAGAUUUAUUUUCAAUUUAAGAAAAACCUGUUGAACUUUUACUAUUUCUUAUUUGUUUAUUUUAUAUUUAUAUGUUGAUAUUUUAAAAUUGCUGCACAGUAUUUCUAUUCAGACCCAAAUAACAAAAUCAGCUGAAGAAAUUGAUAUUUUCAUAUUUCAAGGAAGUGUCCUUUUGCAUUGUUGAUAGCAGAUAUAUGUAUUGUCUUAAUUUGGGUUCAAGAACAGUCACAUCGCAACUUAAAAUAAAAUACGUUUUUAUGAAUGUUACAUGUAAAUAGACAUGAAAGAUAGACAUAUAUAAGAACACAUUUUUUUAUGACCUAAAUGUAUUUUCAAGGUAAAUUUAUUAUGUAAACUUAUUAAGAGGCUGUCCAAGUAUAUAUCAGUCAAAUCCUAUGAUAUUGGUGGCGCAACAUAUUUUUUUUUCCCACUGAAUUUUUGGAUCCAAUGCAACGUUUAUAUCAUACAAAGGAUAUAUAUGUCAAAGAUAUUUUUGAAUCAUCAGUGGAUGGCUCAGAAAAUGAUUUUAAAGUUCACUAACAAUGCAACAAAAUUUUGUACAAAAUGAAGAGUUAUCUCCCCUUUUCAAUGAAUUUGCAGUGCUUUCUAUGUAUUUUUUUCUCUUUAUUUGUUGUAGUUAAUAAAAAAACAAAAUUUAACUUUAAAAAAGAAUGAAAUUGUGGUAUGAAAUAGAUGAAAAAAAUUUGAAAACAAAAUAUGUCAUGUGCCACCAACUGCCUUGUUUUUCCAUGGACACCCUCUUAAAUAUUAUCAAAAACACCGCUGGUUUAAAAUAAACUCAUUCUAUGAAGCCUAAACUAAU
rnacentral:lncRNA from 1 species